rnacentral:pre_miRNA from 1 species
AAAGUACUCCCUCUGUCCCAAAAUUCUUGUCUUAGAUUUGUCUAGAUACAGAUGUAUCAAGUCACAUUUUAGUAUUAGAUACAUCCGUAUCUAGAAAAAUCUAAGAUAAGAAAUUUGGGACGGAGGGAGUAGUUG